GGUACGAAUCAUCCUUCUCACAUGACCAUUUUGGGUAGUCCAACAAGAAAUAAGAGAACCAGUAUGUGGUUCAAGGAUUUGGAAAUCUUAUACUUAUAUAAUAGAGUCCCUGAAAGUGAGUGGACAAUAUAUAUAUAUUAUCCAUAUAUAUAUGGAUGGAGAGAGAAUGAAAUGGAUCCCUUGACGAAAGACCAUCCAGAGUGACCGCAGGUCAUAAAAGAAGGCAACUUCUCCUCCCUGUCAAAUAAUAUCUACCCAAUGAAAAUUGAAAUAAGAGAUAUUCAUGGGAACUUAAUCUUGAAGUGUGGAAUAUAUGGCCAGAAACAGCAGCUGAAGGGAUUUUGAAAAAAAAGUUAUUUCAGAAAAUUGAAGGCUUUUCCUUCAAGAAGGAAAAGAGAAAAACAAUAUCAGGAAUAAUUCCGUGAAGCAAAUUGGUGUAACAAAAUUAAGAACUGUAUAAAAAAAUCAAACACUUCAGAAAUAAAAAGCCAACUGGGGAGACAACAUGUUGGAUAAAAAAUAAACUACUAAAGAAGGCUUUUGUGUGCAUAUGUUUCUUCAGUGCAGAAGAAAAUGGGCAGAUAUCCAUAUCUGAAUUAACAUUUUAGAAAGGGAACCUGGUGAAAUGAGACAAA